rnacentral:rRNA from 1 species
CCCUUAGAUGUCCUGGGCCGCACGCGCGCUACACUGACACACCCAGCGAGUCUCCUGCCCUGACAGGGUUGGGUAAUCAUUGGAGUGUGUGUCGUGAUGGGGAUAGAGUAUUGCAAUUAUUGCUCUCGAACGAGGAAUUCCUAGUAAGCACAAGUCAGCAGCUUGUGCUGAUUACGUCCCUGCCCUUUGUACACACCGCCCGUCGCUCCUACCGAGGGGGUGAUCCGGUGAAUGAUUCGGACUUUGGCGUUUCUAGCUGCUAGCAGCGCUGAAGAAAGUUUUGUGAACCUUAUCACUUGGAGGAAGGAGAAGUCGUAACA